UUUGAUGCUGAAGACUUCAUCCAUGGGGUGAGAACGGCCAGUGUGCCCACCCUGUUUGGGAGGAAGGUGCAGCAGUUUGGAUGUGGAAGGAGGACUGUGCAGGAAGGAGCGGGUCUGCUCACAUCAUCAGGCCUUGUGUGCCGACUCUGUUUGGGAGGAAGGGCACCCUGGACUCUUCGCUUUCUCUCUGUCUCCCUCCUUCCUGCAGGCCAGUCUGAGCAGCCCCCUUACUGCUCUGCACGGAGCACGCUCGCCGCUUGUUUUCCUGGAAACUGCUGGGAAACCUGGACUUCAGCAAGUAGGGUUAUGAGGAUUUGUAAGGACUUGUGUAAGAAGAACAUAAG